rnacentral:rRNA from 1 species
UACGAAGGGGGCUAGCGUUGCUCGGAAUCACUGGGCGUAAAGGGUGCGUAGGCGGGUCUUUAAGUCAGGGGUGAAAUCCUGGAGCUCAACUCCAGAACUGCCUUUGAUACUGAGGAUCUUGAGUUCGGGAGAGGUGAGUGGAACUGCGAGUGUAGAGGUGAAAUUCGUAGAUAUUGGGAAGAACACCGGUGGCGAAGGCGGCCAUCUGGACCGCAACUGACGCUGAGGCGCGAAAGCGUGGGGAGCAAACAGG